AGUGAACGCUGGCGGUAGGCCUAACACAUGCAAGUCGAACGGCAGCACAGUAAGAGCUUGCUCUUACGGGUGGCGAGUGGCGUACGGGUGAGGAAUACAUCGGAAUCUACUUUUUCGUGGGGGAUAACGUAGGGAAACUUACGCUAAUACCGCAUACGACCUACGGGUGAAAGCAGGGGAUCUUCGGACCUUGCGCGAUUGAAUGAGCCGAUGUCGGAUUAGCUAGUUGGCGGGGUAAAGGCCCACCAAGGCGACGAUCCGUAGCUGGUCUGAGAGGAUGGUCAGCCACAUGGUAACUGAGACACGGUCCAGACUCCUACGGGAGGCAGCAGUCGGGAAUAUUGGACAAUGGGGGCAAGCCUGAUCCAGCCAUACCGCGUGGGUGGAGAAGGCCUUCGGGUUGUAAAGCCCUUUUGUUGGGAAAGAAAAGCAGCAGCUUAAUACCCCGCUGUUCUGACGGUACCCAAAGAAUAAGCACCGGCUAACUUCGUG
rnacentral:rRNA from 1 species